rnacentral:rRNA from 1 species
GACAGAGGGUGCAAACGUUGCUCGGAAUCACUGGGCGUAAAGGGCGUGUAGGCGGGAAGGAAAGUCAGAUGUGAAAUCCCUGGGCUCAACCCAGGAACUGCAUUUGAAACUCCCUUUCUUGAGUGUCGGAGAGGAAAGCGGAAUUCCUGGUGUAGAGGUGAAAUUCGUAGAUAUCAGGAGGAACACCGGUGGCGAAGGCGGGUCUCUGGGCAGUAACUGACGCUGAGGAGCGAAAGCGUGGGGAGCGAACAGG